UCGGGAAUUUUGGACAAUGGGCGCAAGCCUGAUCCAGCCAUGCCGCGUGCAGGAUGACGGUCCUAUGGAUUGUAAACUGCUUUUAUCUGGGACGAAAAAAGGCUAUUCCUAGUCACUUGACGGUACCAGAUGAAUAAGCACCGGCUAACUCCGUGCCAGCAGCCGCGGUAAUACGGAGGGUGCAAGCGUUAUCCGGAUUCACUGAGUUUAAAGGGUGCGUAGGCGGGCAGGUAAGUCAGUGGUGAAAUCCUGGAGCUUAACUCCAGAACUGCCAUUGAUACUAUCUGUCUUGAAUAUUGUGGAGGUAAGCGGAAUAUGUCAUGUAGCGGUGAAAUGCUUAGAUAUGACAUAGAACACCUAUUGCGAAGGCAGCUUACUACGCAUAUAUUGACGCUGAGGCACGAAAGCGUGGGGAUCAAACAGGAUUAGAUACCCACGUAGUCCCUGAGCGGGCUGGCAAGGCGCAU
rnacentral:rRNA from 1 species